rnacentral:rRNA from 1 species
GAUGAACGCUGGCGGCGUGCCUAAUACAUGCAAGUCGAGCGAACGGACGAGAAGCUUGCUUCUCUGAUGUUAGCGGCGGACGGGUGAGUAACACGUGGAUAACCUACCUAUAAGACUGGGAUAACUUCGGGAAACCGGAUCUAAUACCGGAUGAUAUUUUGAACCGCAUGGUUCAAAAGUGAAAGACGGUCUUGCUGUCACUUAUAGAUGGAUCCGCGCUGCAUUAGCUAGUUGGUAAGGUAACGGCUUACCAAGGCAACGAUGCAUAGCCGACCUGAGAGGGUGAUCCGCCACACUGGAACUGAGACACGGUCCAGACUCCUACGGGAGGCAGCAGUAGGGAAUCUUCCGCAAAGGGCGAAAGCCUGACGGAGCAACGCCGCGUGAGUGAUGAAGGUCUUCGGAUCGUAAAACUCUGUUAUUAGGGAAGAACAUAUGUGUAAGUAACUGUGCACAUCUUGACGGUACCUAAUCAGAAAGCCACGGCUAACUACGUG